UACAGAGGUCUCAAGCGUUGUUCGGAUUCAUUGGGCGUAAAGGGUGCGUAGGUGGCGGGGUAAGUCAGGUGUGAAAUCUCGGAGCUCAACUCCGAAACUGCACUUGAUACUGCCUUGCUCGAGUACUGGAGAGGAGAUUGGAAUUACGGUGUAGCAGUGAAAUGCGUAGAUAUCGUAAGGAAGACCAGUGGCGAAGGCGAAUCUCUGGACAGUUACUGACACUGAGGCACGAAGGCCAGGGGAGCAAACGGG
rnacentral:rRNA from 1 species